UUCAUAAUAUUCUUACAAAUGUCGAGUACUACAAAAUCUGUUUUUAUCUCUUUACUUCUGUUCUUCCAUGCUUUUGGAGUCCUCACUCAAUCUAUCUAUGUUUCUAGCCGAGCGGGACAAAGCUUCAUCUUCUUACAAGUUUUGCAGAGGUUUGAAGAAGGAGAACCAAAAUGCCUUAGGACUGUGUGGCGUUUUCCAUGAAGCUACAGACACUGUGCGUGCAGCAAUAUUUGUAUUUUCUUUUUUAUUCUUUCCUGAUAACGAUACAAUGCAGUGUGUGUGCAAUGUAUAGAUGAGAGUUAGGAAAAAAAAUAGAUGAAUGUUAGGCAUAGAUGUAUACUUGUGUAGAGUGUGAAUGGUAUAGAUGAAUGUUAGGGUGUGAAUGAUAUAGAUGAAUGUUAGGGUGUGAAUGGUAUAGAUGUAUGUUAGGGUGUGAAUGGUAUAGAUGGGAAUGUUAGGGUGUGAAUGUUAUAGAUGGGAAUGGUAUAGAUGAAUGUUAGGGUGUGAAUGAUAUAGAUGUCUGUUAGGGUGUGAAUGGUAUAGAUGAAUGUUAGGGUUUAGGGUGUGAAUGUUAGAUAAUUAGAGUGUGAAUGGUAUAGAUGAAUGUAUAAAUUAGGCCCUCUACGAGCGUAGAACGUGAGACAAAUGAGCGUCGUGGAACGGAGGGAUAAAAUUACCAACAAAAAAAUCGCUAGCUAGACAUAACAAAAGCUAAUAAAGAAAUUGCAGAGGUUUAAAACUGUAAACUAAAUAUUCAAAUGAAAACGUAAACUAGUCCGAAUUGGUAGUCGAAACACUCAAAAUGGUCGAAACAAAUGUCAAAGUACGAAACUGUUGAACAAAUAGAAUAAAAAGGUAUAAUGUUCACUCGAAA